AUGACAGUCUCCCUGACUGCUUUUCCUUUGGUUCCAUGAACACUUUAUCCAAAUGAAGUAUAUGAUUUUUGAAACCCUACAGAAUUAUUAUCUAAACACCAAAGGAUGUGCUAGGAUUUUGGCAGUCAGUAUUCUGGGCCAGUGCAGGAAAACUCCUUCUUUAGAAUAUUUAGAAAGAAUAUCCUUCAUUUAACCAACAUGGAAACAGUCCUGAAAUCCAAGCUGGUGCUAGCAUUCAGUGCUAGCUAUUACCGUGACAAUUACUUAAUAUUCUCUGUGCUCACCAUAUCGCUCCUUCCAGAAGAUCUUUAGGGAAAACUUAGUUCAGUUUCUAGGAGGUUUUUGCUGAGCUGAAGAUCACUGUGUGAAUAAUAAUGCAGGCACCGCGCUCACAUUUGGAGGGGGAACAAGGUUAAUGGUCAAACCCCACAUCUCAGACCCUGACCCUACUGUGUACCAGCUGAAAGACUCUAAAUUCAGAAACACCUCCAUCUGCCUGUUCACUGAUUAUAAGUCUGGAGUCAAUGUGUCAAAGAGCACAGACCCCGAACUGUUUAUCUUCGAAACAACUGCGCUGGACAUGAGAUCCAUGGAUUCCAAGAGCAAUGGUGCUGUGGCCUGGAGCAACAAAAUUGAUUUUGAAUGUUCAGGUGUCUUCAAGGAAAAUGCCUCCUACCCCAGCUCAGAAGUUCCCUGUAAUGCCAAGUUGGUAGAGAAAAGCUUUGAAACAGAUAUGAACCUGAACUUUCAAAACCUGUCAGUGAUUGGGCUCCGCAUCCUCCUCCUGAAAGUGGCCGGAUUUAACGUGCUCAUGACACUGAGGCUGUGGUCCAGCUGAGAUCAGCCAGAUUGUAAGAGGCCGAGCUCCCUUGCUCAUUCCUCCUCAUUACCCUUCUUCCCCAUCUUCAAGAAGAGAGGUGCUUCCCAUCACCAUGGAGAAGGCUCCCAUCAUCUCUCUAACCCCAACUGCCAAUGCCACUGACUGGAUCCCAUCCAAAUUUGUGAUGAAGAUUGCUGUAGAGCUGCGAAGUACUGCUGUCUCCCCCUCUUAUCACUGCUUGCCACCAUUCAACAGCAAAGGCCAGGGGCUGUCACAGAGUCUCCUGGCUGUGAAGAAACUCCCUGCCCUCCCCCAGAGACUACCUAUGUGGUCCCAUUGGGUGAUGAAUUCCCAGUGGAGUCUCUUGGACCCUAACUUCUGGAGAGUGUUGGGAUGAGUUCAUGUUUUUUAGUAGUGUUCAUAAAGAAAUACAUAUUACUUUUUCUCAAGCUGUGGGGGGAAACUAUCUCAUUGCUACACUAUGUAUCUGAGCUAUUCUGCUGCCCAUGACUUCAUUAAAAGUGAUUUAGAU